rnacentral:lncRNA from 1 species
AAUAAUACUUAUAGCAGAGUAUUAAGAUUGGGUCAGAUGGGCAUCAAACGGAUUAUAAGAACCACAAGGAGGUCUAUUGAAUCAUACUGCAACAAGUCAAGUUUAGGAAUGAAUUAUGGAAAUCUAGAUCCUUGCCAAUUUGGAAGAUUCCUUUCCUUUCAUAGUUAAAGAAAGAAUUUGGAAGGUGAGAAGAUUCCAUCUAUCAAGCAAUACAAUGUGUCUCUUUUAUGGAUUAGCUACUGAACCAUCUCUUAUGGCAAUCAUGAAUCUUAAUAUAGAGGGAAUUUCUUGGUUGUCAUCUCUUGAGUCUCCUCCAAAAACAGAGGA